AACGAACGCUGGCGGCAUGCCUAACACAUGCAAGUCGAACGAAGGCUUCGGCCUUAGUGGCGCACGGGUGCGUAACGCGUGGAAUCUGCCCUUAGGUUCGGAAUAACAGCUGGAAACGGCUGCUAAUACCGGAUGAUAUCGCGAGAUCAAAGAUUUAUCGCCUGAGGAUGAGCCCGCGUUGGAUUAGGUAGUUGGUGGGGUAAAGGCCUACCAAGCCGACGAUCCAUAGCUGGUCUGAGAGGAUGAUCAGCCACACUGGGACUGAGACACGGCCCAGACUCCUACGGGAGGCAGAAGUGGGGAAAAUUGGACAAUGGGCGAAAGCCUGAUCCAGCAAUGCCGCGUGAGUGAUGAAGGCCCUAGGGUUGUAAAGCUCUUUUACCCGGGAAGAUAAUGACUGUACCGGGAGAAUAAGCCCCGGCUAACUCCGUGCCAGCCGCCGCAGUAA
rnacentral:rRNA from 1 species